UGAGCAAUCUGCCCUUCUCAUCGGAAUAAGCGUUGGAAACGACGUCUAAUGCCGAAUACGACCUCCUUUCGCAUGAUCGGAGGUGGAAAGCUCCGGCGGAGAAGGAUGAGCUCGCGGCCUAUCAGCUAGUUGGUGUGGGUAACGGCCCACCAAGGCGACGACGGGUAGCCGGCCUGAGAGGGUGACCGGCCACACUGGGACUGAGAUACGGCCCAGACUCCGUACGGGAGGNAGCG
rnacentral:rRNA from 1 species